UUUUUUUGUUUGUUUUUUUUGUUUUUUCCAUCGACAGCAGAUGUAUCUUCUGCUGUUGCAUCACAUGUGAGUGUGUCUGGAGGGCUGGCCCGUGGGCUCCCGGCUUCCCCACCGACCAGACUUGGCUCUCUGGGUCUCAGCGGCCCAUCUGUGCACCAAGCGGCCAGCCGCCUCUUUGCAGGGACGUACGAGAUGCUACCACCUGCCACGGUCCUUGGCACAUGGCAGGUACUCAGAAAAUGGUACUUUAUUGGGUGUUAUGAAUACUGCUUUAAAAAAUAUUUUUAGGAGUUUCCACUGUGGCUCAGCUGGUUAAGAACCUGACGUAGCAUCUGUGAGGAUGUGGGUUUGAUCGCUGGUCUUGCUCACUGGGUUAAGGAUCCAGCCUUGCCGCAAACUGCAGCGUAGGUCAAAGAUGUGACAUGGAUCCGGUGUUGCCGUGGCUGUGGUGUAGACUGGCAGCUGCAGCUCUGAUUUGACCUCUAGCCUGGGAACCUCCGUAUGUCGCUGGUGCAGCCCUAAAACGACAAAGAAAAAACAAGAAAAAUUAUUUUCAUACAUUCUUUUUUUCUAUAUUAGAUUAGAAUCCUGAAGUGAAACAAAUGCUUUAAGCUGUCACACAAAUAAAUUGUGGUAAAUGACAUAAUGCCUACCUCGGACGUACAGAAGAGAUCAAAAGAAAGAGUNNNNNNNNNNNNNNNNNNUGGACAGCACAGGUGCAGGUGCAUCUGGGACUUGAGCACCCGUAGUGGGGUGGAGGUUGGUGACAUAUUUUCAUUUGCGAAGGGAGCGGGCCCAGAUAAGGAAGUUUCAGCUUUUCCCCAGUUUACGUGACAGGCGCUUUCCUGGAAAAUUCAGCUUAUAUUAAAACAAUUUUAAAAAUGAUCUCAGUGUUUGUAAAAUAGAGUUAGAUUCUGGGGUCAGACAUCCACCAACAGGAUUUUCACCCAAAAUAACUCCCCCACCGGUAUGUGGGGAGUUUGGGGGAGUGGAGGCCCCCGCUUUGUCGGGGGGCUCGUCCCACAUGUUACGGGAUCCCCAGCUUCCCUGGAACCUGGUCUGUGCGUGUCAGCUAAAGCCCGGCUCGGGACCACCAAGAACACCCCGAAAUCCCCCCGGGGCAGCAGGCCUGCUGACCUAGCGGGUAACCCGUCGCAUGGCCCCAAGCCCAGCUCUGCUCUUGUGAAGGGGCCACGAGCCCCCUGAGGCGCCCCUGCGGGCCCUUCCCGCCUGAGUGCAUCUGGGAAAUGGGAAGAGACCACAGCUGCACAGAGGCUGACCGGCUUUCCCCAGACCCCAGCCCUGCAGUCUGCGCCCACAGAAAGUCCCGCAGAGGCCACCACAGUCUGAGCGAAACCGCAGAGCCCGCCAGAGCCUCAAAGGCCCAAGGUGGGGACAGUCAGCUGCCCUGAGCUGGUCCCAGCCCGACCCAAGGUGUCUGGGAGUUGCCUUUGCCGCGCUAUGACCCAGGGUCCCCGCCCCAAGGGGGUCUGUAUGCUUGGCUCCGCACAGCGGCUGGAAGGACGGCACCUGUCUGGCUGUUUCUGGAAAUCGCAGCCGCUUCCCCUGAAUUCUGGUGGCACACGCUCCUUUUACCCCUUAAACCGCCCCCCAGGAGGAACUCUGCGUUGCUCCACCUGGGUUCCUUCCGCUGGCACAAGCGGCCCCGGCCCGGAAGGACCUCCUGCGGUUCCAUCUGACCCGCGAGGGCCGCAGCCCCUCUGUUCCCGGAGACCUGCCAGCUGGGCAGGGGGGUGAAGCCUCCUGGACCCCCGGGUGCUGGAAACAGCUCCCUCCUCACAUGUCAUCAGCCAGAGGGACUCCAGGGGCAAGUGAUGGAGAACGACAGGUGAGCCGUCUGUGAAAAUGCAGAGUCACUGAGCCGUACCCAUGACACCAACGUGAUGUGGCAAGGCAAGACGGCUCCAUAAAAAUGGAAACAGGUCACUCGCGAAGUCUCUUCACAGACGGCGAGAAACGGUCCUUCCUUUCUUUGCUCUGCCACUUCAGGGUCCCCUGGAGGCCCCGGCAGGGGAGGAGGCGCGUCUGUGAACAGUUAAACCCCCCAACCCCCCCAGCCCAGCCCACGAGGGGCCGCAUGUGAUGCAUGUGAUUCUGAUGGCGCGGUUUUAUCCGAGACGAGAGGGGCCAGGGGCACAGCAGCCCAACUCCCCAGCCUGGCUCAGAACCCACUCUCUCGGGCCUCUGACUCUUCGUGGGGGGGACACUGCUGGCCACACCGCCCCUGGGACCCUGCCCAGGCCGUCGCGAGGCUGGGGUAAAUGCACCAUCCCACCCCCUCCGGGAGACCUGUCUCUCCCCACCUCCACGGCUGAACUGGGGUGACAAGCUCUCUCUGGGGAGCUUGGAGGGCGCGUAGGGGGCCCUGGGGAGGUGUGGGGCAGGGAGCACUGCUGGCAGGAGUCUCCCCAGGAGAGGCUGAGGCAGGCGGCAUGGCGCUGGCACAUCGUAGGCCUUCAGCCGAGCCGCCAGGGUCAGCGGGGGGCAGGUCACGGGGACACAGAGCAGGGAGCAUUCAGGCCACCUCUCUGCCCUCCUGCUGCUCCUGCGGACGCCCUCCAGAUCUUGGGCUGUGGGUGUCGGUCCUCACCCCCUGAGUCUGGGCCUUCGUGGCUUCUGUGUUUCCCGAACCUCGUGCCCUGCCUCCACGCAAGGAUUGGGGACUGAAAUGCCUGGCCCCAGCGCCACCUGCCAUCUGCCUCGUGCGUCCUCAUCCAGGUACAGAGCGGCCUGGGGAGGCGGUACCUGCGGAGGCAGAAACAACACAGAUGCUGUUAGUGGGUCUGGGCACCGCUGUCACCAGCCCUGAUCCCUCUCCCUCUCCCCCAGCUCCUCCCCUGCUCCCCCCAUCUCCACCGGGGAGCCC
ensembl:lncRNA